GCCGAGGCGCGUUUGGGGACGUGAUCAUCGAUCUGCGAACCGGACAGGCUGAAGCUGGACUCGUGCAGGUCCCUCAUGCCCCCGUGGCGCGUGGCGGGCCGGGUGGGCGUAUCGGCCAGGGGUGUCCCCGUCUCUUUUUUCCCCGCGUGGACCACUGCUGCCACGUCCCCCAGGUACGGGCUGCGGUCCACGGCCCUCGGCUUUAAGCUCUUCUCGCGCUGCACCAGCUUCUUGUAGACGCAGUCAGGGAAGGAGCGCAGUGGGCAGAAGCGCCCGGUGCCCUCGGCGCACAUGAAGACUCC
rnacentral:lncRNA from 1 species